rnacentral:rRNA from 1 species
UACGAAGGGGGCUAGCGUUAAUCGGAAUUACUGGGCGUAAAGCGUGCGCAGGCGGUUCUGAAAGUCAGCUGUGAAAGCCCCGGGCUUAACCUGGGAAUGGCGGUUGAAACUACAGGACUAGAAUCUGGCAGAGGGGGGUGGAAUUCCACGUGUAGCAGUGAAAUGCGUAGAGAUGUGGAGGAGCACCGAUGGCGAAGGCAGCCCCCUGGGCUGAGAUUGACGCUCAGGCACGAAAGCGUGGGGAGCAAACAGG